UAAGUCUAUAAAAAAAACUAAAAAAGAUUUAUGGCCACGACAAUUUUGGCUUAUUGGUUUUUGAACAAAGCAGUUUAUUUUUCCAACGCGAUCCCUAUAAAAAAACUGAAUUUUAUCUGUUUCUAAACUAUUAUCACUCUCUAGCCACGAUCUACCUUCUUCUCAACUGCUCAGGAAGUCAGGAUCCAACAUAAAUAAACCCUCUCCAUUAACAAUUUAUUGAUGAUCUAUAAUUUGUUUUAUCUCUUCCACACUUCUCACUUAUCCAACGAAACAAUUAUUUUAUUUUUUCUAUAUAAGUACGAAUCAUCUUCUCUAGAAUGCUCGAACAACUGGAUUGUGGCUGCAGAGUUUGAAAGGUGUCAGAGGUCAGUAAUGUGUGGUCAGGUGGAGAGAUUCAAAUGGUCUUGACUCUUACAGGCAUGGUUUUCUGAAAUUUGGAAUUUUUUUAGAUCUUCCCAUGACGAGCCUCUUUCUCGAGUGGAAGCCACUUGACUUUAAUUGAAAACUCUAUUCCUCAUUAAUAAAUAGAAGAAGAGACUGGAGAAGCAAGCUACAGAAGAGGAAUAAGCAAGGCGAAUCUGAAACAUGUGUUGCUCAUAUGUUCAUUAAAAGGUCAUAGCUAAACCUUUUGUCCAUUUAGAGUUUUACAAAUACAAAUACUUUCAUUUUGUUGUCAAUUAUUUGUUGCACAAAAAGAAAUGCUGUCAACUAUUUUUAAUAUUUUUGUUGAGUGUUUUAUGAAUUUAUUUUAAUUAUGAAAUUGCAUAUUGUUAAA